AGCUUCUAUGGCUAAAAUAGAACAACGGAGAAAAUGAUUUUUUUUGGCUUUUUGAAGAAAAUAGGACGAUUCAAAAAACAUUUAAAUAAAUUGAAAAGCCAAAAAAAUCAUUAAUGAGAGAUUUAACCAAAAAAAUUAAGGUGAGACAUUCAGGCUCUUGAGAGCCUUUUAUUUCAAGAUCGCGUUGAAACGUGAAAUUCGGCCACCAUUAAAAAAAAAGUCGUACGAGAUUUUACGAGAGUGACGAAACUUUGUAGAUGGGUCGUGUAGAGAGAUUUAUCGUUCUUUAUUCCAAAACGAUGCUUCUACCAUAAGUGCCAGCUAAAGCUGGCAUAUCAAUAUUAAAGCCACAAUAUGCAAUCUAUAAUGAUAAUAGUAUCGUAACUAUAUCCUUUCUUAAUAAUAGUUAUAAAAAGCACCAGGAUUAUAAUUUAGUACUUUAGUACGCCAGACACGCGUUUCGUUUAGACUCAUAAGUGACGCUCAUAUCAAAAUAGGUAUAUAACCAAACAAGUAGAAAGUUGAAGGGCAUUGAUGAUCCAAAAUUCCAAAAUGUUGUGCCAAAUAAGGUAAUUUAUUCUUUGACAAGACAAUCCUUACAUAUCGGACAUAUAAGUAACCUUAAUUGUCCUAAUCAGAAUCGAAAUAAUUGAUGCCAGCUAUACUUUAUUGUUGUUUUAACAUGGGUAAGCAUUAUAUUCAUGUUAUUUAGCACUCAUUAUCGCUCGGACAAAAAUAAUCACGAAAAAAAGUCCAAGUCCUAUGUCAAAUAGGUAACAAAAGAAAGUAAACAAAAUAAAAAUAAUACAUAUAUAACAAAUGACUACUAACAGUUACUGAUAUGCCAGUGCAAGACCUUAAUUAAUCUGAUUGAACGAUUAUGUCUUUAUCCGUGACUGAAUUAAAGUAUAUAACAAUGCGUAAGCCUUAUUUAAGUAUUGGUAUUAUCAUCUGAUAAAGUCAUACCGAUUAUGAGAUACACAGUUUUCUCUGCUUUUGCAAGAUAUUUCUGUUAGAACCCGUCG
rnacentral:lncRNA from 1 species